AGAAACCACCUUCCAUACUCACUUUGCUCUCAUAGGAGAACUGAGGCUCAGACUUCUACAGCAAAAACCUUUGACCGACAAAGAUCUACUCGAUGGAACCAAUUUCAGGCCCAGUGACGGGAUGAGAGGAGACAGCUUCCCGUGGUGUGUUCCAGUCCUUUCUGGGCUUAGUGGGAACGUCUGUGAGUGCUGGAGAGGGCUGCAAACUGCGUGUUGCACCACACACCUCCCUCAACAUCAUCAUCCCCGGAAGACACCGAGUUCUGAGAAUGCCAGCGUCCAGAGAGCCAGGAUCCAGUACUGACCUGAAACUACCACACAGUCCCAGUAUAGCCCUGCUAUAAAGUACAAGUAAAUCCCACCGAGGGACUAACUGAAGCUUCAGGGAGUAAGGGGGUCUUUCCUACAUUGCACAGGUCUUGUUCUCUUCCGAGUCCCUCUGCCAACACAAAGUCAAGAUACCCCUCCUCAUUCUUCCUGUGGUCUUCUGAUCUCCUAUUCCACCAGGAAGUGAAUCCGCACCCUGUGGCCCCCAUCCAUAACAAACCCUGGAGAGUUAUGAGACUUUUCUUCUUCCAGUUCUAGAAGGAACCCCCAAGGAUGGUGGCAGCUUUGAUUUCCUUCCUGCUGGCCCAAAGAGGAUGGCUGGAGCAAGCAGAGCUAAUCUAGGUACAGGUGGAAGGGCUGCUUGAGCCAUCAGGAAGCCUCCCCACCACUCCCUCCCCUCUCCCCGCUGGAGGGUGGGGAGAGAGAGGGACAGCCUGGGAGAAGUCUCUCCCUCCUUCCGUGAGAGGAGGUCAACUGGUUGUGCUGGCCUUGCUUCCUAAAGGGCUUGCUCUCAGGUCAAUGGAUACUGCCCUUAGUGCUAGAAUGUGUAUCCUGGACUCAUUUCCAACUCUCUGGCAGGCCAGCAGUGUUGAUCCAGGCUCUCCCCUUCACUCGGGAUUAGAGGGAGGGGGGUUAGUUGGGGUCAUUUUUGGCUACCCAGCAUCUGAACUCCUCUCCCAAGCUCAGGACAUUUACUACCUCAUGAAUCUUAGUACCUUAAGAAAGAGCCCCAAAGGCCAGAUGCUUCCUUCUCUAGUCUCCUUUGGACAUGGACCCACAGCGGGACUUGGUCAAACAGGUGUACCUACUUCAGAUGGAAUCAGAUGUUAACUGGCACUGGGGCACCUGGGUGGCUCAGCUGGUUAAACAUCUGCCUUCGGCACAGGUCACGA